GAUGAACGCUGGCGGCGUGCCUAAUACAUGCAAGUCGAGCGAACAGACGAGGAGCUUGCUCCUCUGACGUUAGCGGCGGACGGGUGAGUAACACGUGGAUAGCCUACCUAUAAGACUGGGAUAACUUCGGGAAACCGGAGCUAAUACCGGAUAAUAUAUUGAACCGCAUGGUUCAAUAGUGAAAGACGGUUUUGCUGUCACUUAUAGAUGGAUCCGCGCCGCAUUAGCUAGUUGGUAAGGUAACAGCUUACCAAGGCAACGAGGCGUAGCCGACCUGAGAGGGUGAUCGGCCACCCUGGAACGGAGACACGGUCCAGACGCCUACGGGAGGCAGCAGUAGGGAAUCGUCCGCAAUGGGCGAAAGCCUGACGGAGCAAGGCCGCGUGAGUGAUGAAGGUCUUCGGAUCGUAAAACUCUGUUAUUAGGGAAGAACAAAUGUGUAAGUAACUAUGCACGUCUUGACGGUACCUAAUCAGAAAGCCACGGCUAACUACGUG
rnacentral:rRNA from 1 species